UACGAGAGGUGCAAGCGUUAUUCGGAAUUAUUGGGCGUAAAGGGCGCGUAGGCGGGUCAUUAAGUUUGUUGUUAAAUCCUCUGGCUUAACCAGAGACAAGCAAUAAAAACUGGUAACCUAGAGCGUGAGAGAGAGAAGUGGAAUUCCCGGAGUAGCGGUAAAAUGCGUAGAUCUCGGGAGGAACACCAAUGGCGAAGGCUGCUUCUUGGCUCAUUGCUGACGCUGAGGCGCGAAAGCGUGGGGAGCGAACAGG
rnacentral:rRNA from 1 species